UACGAAGGGUGCAAGCGUUACUCGGAAUUACUGGGCGUAAAGCGUGCGUAGGUGGUUUGUUAAGUCUGAUGUGAAAGCCCUGGGCUCAACCUGGGAACUGCAUUGGAUACUGGCUGACUAGAGUGCGGUAGAGGGGUGUGGAAUUCCCGGUGUAGCAGUGAAAUGCGUAGAUAUCGGGAGGAACAUCUGUGGCGAAGGCGACACCCUGGACCAGCACUGACACUGAGGCACGAAAGCGUGGGGAGCAAACAGG
rnacentral:rRNA from 1 species